rnacentral:rRNA from 1 species
GACGAACGCUGGCGGCGUGCCUAAUACAUGCAAGUAGAACGCUGAAGAGAGGAGCUUGCUCUUCUUGGAUGAGUUGCGAACGGGUGAGUAACGCGUAGGUAACCUGCCUUGUAGCGGGGGAUAACUAUUGGAAACGAUAGCUAAUACCGCAUAACAAUGGAUGACACAUGUCAUUUAUUUGAAAGGGGCAAUUGCUCCACUACAAGAUGGACCUGCGUUGUAUUAGCUAGUAGGUGAGGUAAUGGCUCACCUAGGCGACGAUACAUAGCCGACCUGAAAGGGUGAUCGGCCACACUGGGACUGAGACACGGCCCAGACUCCUACGGGAGGCAGCAGUAGGGAAUCUUCGGCAAUGGGGGCAACCCUGACCGAGCAACGCCGCGUGAGUGAAGAAGGUUUUCGGAUCGUAAAGCUCUGUUGUAAGUCAAGAACGGGUGUGAGAGUGGAAAGUUCACACUGUGACGGUAGCUUACCAGAAAGGGACGGCUAACUACGU